rnacentral:rRNA from 1 species
GGUUAAGCGACUAAGCGUACACGGUGGAUGCCCUGGCAGUCAGAGGCGAUGAAGGACGUGCUAAUCUGCGAUAAGCGCCGGUAAGGUGAUAUGAACCGUUAUAACCGGCGAUACCCGAAUGGGGAAACCCAGUGUGACUCGUCACACUAUCAUUAACUGAAUCCAUAGGUUAAUGAGGCGAACCGGGGGAACUGAAACAUCUAAGUACCCCGAGGAAAAGAAAUCAACCGAGAUUCCCCCAGUAGCGGCGAGCGAACGGGGAGGAGCCCAGAGCCUGAAUCAGCAUGUGUGUUAGUGGAAGCGUCUGGAAAGGCGCGCGAUACAGGGUGACAGCCCCGUACACAAAAGCGCAUGUGCUGUGAGCUCGAUGAGUAGGGCGGGACACGUGGUAUCCUGUCUGAAUAUGGGGGGACCAUCCUCCAAGGCUAAAUACUCCUGACUGACCGAUAGUGAACCAGUACCGUGAGGGAAAGGCGAAAAGAACCCCGGCGAGGGGAGUGAAAAAGAACCUGAAACCGUGUACGUACAAGCAGUGGGAGCACAGGUUUACCUGUGUGACUGCGUACCUUUUGUAUAAUGGGUCAGCGACUUAUAUUCUGUAGCAAGGUUAACCGAAUAGGGGAGCCGCAGGGAAACCGAGUCUUAAUUGGGCGUUAAGUUGCAGGGUAUAGACCCGAAACCCGGUGAUCUAGCCAUGGGCAGGUUGAAGGUUGGGUAACACUAACUGGAGGACCGAACCGACUAAUGUUGAAAAAUUAGCGGAUGACCUGUGGCUGGGGGUGAAAGGCCAAUCAAACCGGGAGAUAGCUGGUUCUCCCCGAAAGCUAUUUAGGUAGCGCCUCGUGAAUUCAUCUCCGGGGGUAGAGCACUGUUUCGGCUAGGGGGCCAUCCCGGCUUACCAACCCGAUGCAAACUGCGAAUACCGGAGAAUGUUAUCACGGGAGACACACGGCGGGUGCUAACGUCCGUCGUGAAGAGGGAAACAACCCAGACCGCCAGCUAAGGUCCCAAAGUCAUGGUUAAGUGGGAAACGAUGUGGGAAGGCCCAGACAGCCAGGAUGUUGGCUUAGAAGCAGCCAUCAUUUAAAGAAAGCGUAAUAGCUCACUGGUCGAGUCGGCCUGCGCGGAAGAUGUAACGGGGCUAAACCAUGCACCGAAGCUGCGGCAGCGAACGUAUCACUUAAAGCGAUUCAGCGGGUUACGAUUGACGGAGCGAAGCGACGUCAAAGCGUAUACAAAGUCGAGUCGGUUUAAGGAUACGUUCGUUGGGUAGGGGAGCGUUCUGUAAGCCUGCGAAGGUGGCCUGUGAGGGUUGCUGGAGGUAUCAGAAGUGCGAAUGCUGACAUAAGUAACGAUAAAGCGGGUGAAAAGCCCGCUCGCCGGAAGACCAAGGGUUCCUGUCCAACGUUAAUCGGGGCAGGGUGAGUCGACCCCUAAGGCGAGGCCGAAAGGCGUAGUCGAUGGGAAACGGGUUAAUAUUCCCGUACUUGGUGUUACUGCGAAGGGGGGACGGAGAAGGCUAUGUUGGCCGGGCGACGGUUGUCCCGGUUUAAGCGUGUAGGCUGGUUUUCCAGGCAAAUCCGGAAAAUCAAGGCUGAGGCGUGACGACGAGGCACUACGGUGCUGAAGCAACAAAUGCCCUGCUUCCAGGAAAAGCCUCUAAGCAUCAGGUAACAUCAAAUCGUACCCCAAACCGACACAGGUGGUCAGGUAGAGAAUACCAAGGCGCUUGAGAGAACUCGGGUGAAGGAACUAGGCAAAAUGGUGCCGUAACUUCGGGAGAAGGCACGCUGACACGUAGGUGAAGUGAUUUACUCAUGGAGCUGAAGUCAGUCGAAGAUACCAGCUGGCUGCAACUGUUUAUUAAAAACACAGCACUGUGCAAACACGAAAGUGGACGUAUACGGUGUGACGCCUGCCCGGUGCCGGAAGGUUAAUUGAUGGGGUCAGCGCAAGCGAAGCUCCUGAUCGAAGCCCCGGUAAACGGCGGCCGUAACUAUAACGGUCCUAAGGUAGCGAAAUUCCUUGUCGGGUAAGUUCCGACCUGCACGAAUGGCGUAAUGAUGGCCAGGCUGUCUCCACCCGAGACUCAGUGAAAUUGAACUCGCUGUGAAGAUGCAGUGUACCCGCGGCAAGACGGAAAGACCCCGUGAACCUUUACUAUAGCUUGACACUGAACAUUGAGCCUUGAUGUGUAGGAUAGGUGGGAGGCUUUGAAGUGUGGACGCCAGUCUGCAUGGAGCCGACCUUGAAAUACCACCCUUUAAUGUUUGAUGUUCUAACGUGGACCCGUAAUCCGGGUUGCGGACAGUGUCUGGUGGGUAGUUUGACUGGGGCGGUCUCCUCCUAAAGAGUAACGGAGGAGCACGAAGGUUGGCUAAUCCUGGUCGGACAUCAGGAGGUUAGUGCAAUGGCAUAAGCCAGCUUGACUGCGAGCGUGACGGCGCGAGCAGGUGCGAAAGCAGGUCAUAGUGAUCCGGUGGUUCUGAAUGGAAGGGCCAUCGCUCAACGGAUAAAAGGUACUCCGGGGAUAACAGGCUGAUACCGCCCAAGAGUUCAUAUCGACGGCGGUGUUUGGCACCUCGAUGUCGGCUCAUCACAUCCUGGGGCUGAAGUAGGUCCCAAGGGUAUGGCUGUUCGCCAUUUAAAGUGGUACGCGAGCUGGGUUUAGAACGUCGUGAGACAGUUCGGUCCCUAUCUGCCGUGGGCGCUGGAGAACUGAGGGGGGCUGCUCCUAGUACGAGAGGACCGGAGUGGACGCAUCACUGGUGUUCGGGUUGUCAUGCCAAUGGCACUGCCCGGUAGCUAAAUGCGGAAGAGAUAAGUGCUGAAAGCAUCUAAGCACGAAACUUGCCCCGAGAUGAGUUCUCCCUGAGACUUAGAGUCUCCUGAAGGAACGUUGAAGACGACGACGUUGAUAGGCCGGGUGUGUAAGCGCAGCGAUGCGUUGAGCUAACCGGUACUAAUGAACCGUGAGGCUUAACCUU